UACGGGGGGGGCAAGCGUUGUUCGGAAUUACUGGGCGUAAAGCGCGCGCAGGCGGCGAUCUACGUCUGGGGUGAAAGCCCGGAGCUCAACUCCGGGACUGCCUUGGAUACGGGAUCGCUUGAGGAUUGGAGAGGCAAGGGGAAUUCCACGUGUAGCGGUGAAAUGCGUAGAUAUGUGGAGGAACACCUGUGGCGAAGGCGCCUUGCUGGCCAAUUUCUGACGCUGAGGCGCGAAAGCGUGGGGAGCAAACAGG
rnacentral:rRNA from 1 species